rnacentral:rRNA from 1 species
UACGGAGGGGACUAGCGUUGUUCGGAAUUACUGGGCGUAAGGCGCACGUAGGCGGAUUUGUAAGUCAGGGGUGAAAUCCCGGGGCUCAACCUCGGAACUGCCUUUGAUACUGCAAAUCUCGAGUCCGGAAGAGGUGAGUGGAAUUCCUAGUGUAGAGGUGAAAUUCGUAGAUAUUAGGAAGAACACCGGUGGCGAAGGCGGCCAACUGGACGAAUACUGACGCUGAGACACGAAAGCGUGGGGAGCAAACAGG